rnacentral:rRNA from 1 species
AACGUACGCUGGCGGCACGCCUAACACAUGCAAGUCGAACGAAGUAGCAAUACUUAGUGGCAGACGGGUGAGUAACAUGUAGGUAUCUGCCCUUUGGCCUGGAAUAACACGAGGAAACUUGUGCUAAUACCGGAUAAGUCUUUACGGAGAAAGCUUUAUGCACCAUUGGAUGAGCCUGCACUUGAUUAGUUUGUUGGUGGGGUAAUGGCCUACCAAGACUGUGAUCAAUAGCUGAUUUGAGAGGAUGAUCAGCCACAUUGGGACUGAGACACGGCCCAAACUCCUACGGGAGGCAGCAGUGGGGAAUCUUGCACAAUGGAGGAAACUCUGAUGGAGCGAUGCCGCGUGAGUGAAGAAGGCCUUUGGGUUGUAAAGCUCUUUCGUCGGGGAAGAAAAUGACUGUACCCGAAUAAGAAGGUCCGGCUAACUUCGUGCCAGCAGCCGCGGUAAUACGAAGGGACCUAGCGUAGUUCGGAAUUACUGGGCUUAAAGAGUUCGUAGGUGGUUGAAAAAGUUAGUGGUGAAAUCCCAGAGCUUAACUCUGGAACUGCCAUUAAAACUUUUCAGCUAGAGUAUGAUAGAGGAAAGCAGAAUUUCUAGUGUAGAGGUGAAAUUCGUAGAUAUUAGAAAGAAUACCAAUUGCGAAGGCAGCUUUCUGGAUCAUUACUGACACUGAGGAACGAAAGCAUGGGUAGCGAAGAGGAUUAGAUACCCUCGUAGUCCAUGCCGUAAACGAUGUGUGUUAGACGUUGGAAAUUUAUUUUCAGUGUCGCAGGGAAACCGAUAAACACACCGCCUGGGGAGUACGACCGCAAGGUUAAAACUCAAAUGAAUUGACGGGGACCCGCACAAGUAGUGGAGCAUGUGGUUUAAUUCGAAGAUACGCGCAGAACCUUACCAACACUUGACAUGUUCGUCGCGACUCUAAGAGAUUAGAGUUUUCGGUUCGGCCGGACGAAACACAGGUGCUGCAUGGCUGUCGUCAGCUCGUGUCGUGAGAUGUUGGGUUAAGUCCCGCAACGAGCGCAACCCUCACUUUUAGUUGCCAUCAUUAAGUUGGGCACUCUGAAAGAACUGCCAGUGAUAAGCUGGAGGAAGGUGGGGAUGACGUCAAGUCCUCAUGGCCCUUACGUGUUGGGCUACACACGUGCUACAAUGGUAUCUACAACAGGAAGCAAGACUGCGAAGUUAAGCAAAUCCCUAAAAGAUACCUCAGUUCGGAUUGCACUCCGCAACUCGAGUGCAUGAAGCUGGAAUUACUAGUAAUCGUGGAUCAGCGUGCCACGGUGAAUGCGUUCCCGGGUCU